rnacentral:rRNA from 1 species
CCUACGGGAGGCAGCAGUGAGGAAUAUUGGACAAUGGGCGCAAGCCUGAUCCAGCCAUGCCGCGUGCAGGAAGAAGCAUCUAUGGUGUGUAAACUGCUUUUGUACAGGAAGAAACACUCCCUCGUGAGGGAGCUUGACGGUACUGUAAGAAUAAGGACCGGCUAACUCCGUGCCAGCAGCCGCGGUAAUACGGAGGGUCCGAGCGUUAUCCGGAAUCAUUGGGUUUAAAGGGUCCGUAGGCGGUUUAAUAAGUCAGUGGUGAAAUCUGGUCGCUCAACGAUCAAACGGCCAUUGAUACUGUUAGACUUGAAUUAUAAGGAAGUAACUAGAAUAUGUAGUGUAGCGGUGAAAUGCUUAGAUAUUACAUGGAAUACCAAUUGCGAAGGCAGGUUACUACUUAUGGAUUGACGCUGAUGGACGAAAGCGUGGGGAGCGAACAGGAUUAGAUACCCUGGUAGUCCACGCCGUAAACGAUGGAUACUAGCUGUUCGGAGCAAUCUGAGUGGCUAAGCGAAAGUGAUAAGUAUCCCACCUGGGGAGUACGUUCGCAAGAAUGAAACUCAAAUGAAUUGACGGNGUGAGAGNGCGAGACGACGACGAGGGAGGAGG